UGGGGAAUUUUGCGCAAUGGGCGAAAGCCUGACGCAGCGACGCCGCGUGUACGAUGAAGGCCUUUGGGUCGUAAAGUACUGUCAACGGGGACGAACGCCUCAGGUUGAAUAGGUCUGAGGUCUGACGGUACCCGUGGAGGAAGCACCGGCUAACUCUGUGCCAGCAGCCGCGGUAAUACGGAGGGGGCAAGCGUUGUUCGGAUUUACUGGGCGUAAAGGGCGCGUAGGCGGACGGUCAAGUCAGAGGUGAAAGGCCCGGGCUCAACCUGGGACGUGCCUUUGAAACUGAUUGUCUUGAGUGCGGAAGAGGGUGACGGAAUUCCCAGUGUAGAGGUGAAAUUCGUAGAUAUUGGGAAGAACACCGGUGGCGAAGGCGGUCACCUGGUCCGCAACUGACGCUGAGGCGCGAAAGCGUGGGGAGCAAACAGGAUUAGAUACCCGUGUAGUCC
rnacentral:rRNA from 1 species